rnacentral:rRNA from 1 species
UACGGGGGGGGCAAGCGUUGUUCGGAAUUACUGGGCGUAAAGGGCUCGUAGGCGGCCAACUAAGUCAGACGUGAAAUCCCCAGGCUCAACCUGGGAACUGCGUCUGAUACUGGAUGGCUUGAAUCCGGGAGAGGGAUGCAGAAUUCCAGGUGUAGCGGUGAAAUGCGUAGAUAUUCGGAGGAACACCAGUGGCGAAGGCGGCCCACUGGCUCGACACUGACGCUGAGGUGCGAAAGCGUGGGGAGCAAACAGG